rnacentral:rRNA from 1 species
UACGUAGGGUGCAAGCGUUGUCCGGAAUUAUUGGGCGUAAAGAGCUCGUAGGCGGUCUGUCGCGUCGGAUGUGAAAACCCAGGGCUCAACCCUGGGCCUGCAUUCGAUACGGGCAGACUAGAGUUCGGUAGGGGAGACUGGAAUUCCUGGUGUAGCGGUGAAAUGCGCAGAUAUCGGGAGGAACACCGGUGGCGAAGGCGGUUCUCUGGGCCUGUACUGACGCUGAGGAGCGAAAGCGUGGGGAGCGAACAGG